GGUAGAGGUGACAGCACAUUGAAUGCACCAGUUCCCCACGGAUCACUGAAGUUAAGCAACGUUGUGCAUGGUUAGAACCUGGAUUACUAAGGACACAGAAAGUAAGUACCUGGAUGGCUGACCAUAUGGGGAAUCGCGUGCUGCUGGGU
rnacentral:rRNA from 1 species